CCAAAAAGUCCCAGCAAAUCUAACUGAAUGUACUUCAGAGAACAGUGAUACUGGCUGAAAACCAUGGUUUACAUUCCAUCUUCAAAGUGAGAUAAUGCAAGAAUGCCAAAAAUUCAACAGAGCCUUCUCAAGUAACAAUCUUGUCCUUGAGAGAGCACUGGGAUUCUGAGCUGUGGAAUUUUCCACUCAUUUAUUCUUUCAUUUUUCAUCUUCCUUUGCCUUCAAGUGUCAAUUGGCUCCUCUCAGUCACAGCUGUACAAAUCACAGGACCCCUUUUUUUUUAAUUGGCAGAAGACAUAUACAUUAUUCAUCUAUUCAUUUCUAUCUAAUGGAAAUCCAAAAAAGACAAUUUUAUUUUCCAACAAAACAUUUAAAGCUGCUUUUCCCCCCAUGAGAAACGAGACAGAAGACUCCAUCCAUGGUCUAUAAAAGCCAACUGGUAAGGAAGUACUCUCUCUGCAAUAGCCAUGAGGACUGUGAGGUCUGCCCACAGGCAUGUGAGUGAACUUGGAAGCAGAUUCGCCCCCAACCCAGCCUUGAGCUGCCUGGAGAACUGGCCACCACCCCAGUUGCAGCCUUGAGACAGAAGAACACAGCAAAACCACUCCUAGAUUCCUGACCACAGAAACCAUGAGAUAAUAAAUGUCUGCUGUUUUAAGCCACUAGUUUUAGGGAUACUUUGUUACACAGCAAUAGAUAACUCAUGCAAUUGGAGAAAAUCGUAUGAAUGCAUUUCAUUAAAUAAAAGAAGAAAAAAAAACUCCCAUCUGCACAUUAAAAAAAAAAAAAUAGAAACAGAAUUUGCUAGCCUAUUUUUUUAAUCCCAGAUAAAAUCAUCAAUGGAUUUGAAUCAACUGCUAAAAAUACAGAAAUACAACACCUUCUAAAGAGUUUUCAAUAAUGAAUGCAUGAUUGACACCAGAGAAGAUGAAGUUAUUAAUUAAACUUCAAGAAAGAUCUGAAUAUAGUGCUCAAAGUAAAUAGAGUCAUGAUUUGGUCAAUCAUGCUAACAAACACUCCUGUUGAAAUUCUCUUUGCAUAGUAUCUUAUUUUGAUUAAAACUAGAAAUUAAAAUAAACUGAACUUAAAACCAGUCCUUCAAAUUACCCUAUCACAAGGUAUCACACAAAAGUUUUCAAAAAUAUAUAACAUUUUCAAACACAUUGCUCAUACUAAUAUUUAAUAAUAUUUUUGUGGGAGUAAAAAUUUUAAAUGUUGUCUAUGCAAUCUUAUCUCUGUGUAUUUUGUAAGAGAUACAAUAAACUAGUAUGAUGUACAUGUACAUAAACAAUUAAAUAUCAAUAUAAAUUAUUAAAUAACUACCUAGUUAUUUAAUAACUAGUUACCUAGUUGGAGAGGACAGGCUCAAGUUAUUUUAACAAUUGAAACAGUUUGUAUAUCCCUGACCUUGAAGGUAAGUCCGAAUGCUUUCCCUGAGUUUGUAUAGCUUCCACCUAUCUUUCUAGCCCUGUACUUAGAGCCACUUGCAACUCGCAAGACACUCUUGAGUAGCUUAGAAGUGAAUCCUCCCCCAGAAGCCUUUCUUCCAGCACCACCCCCACCUGGCCACUAUGUCUACUAAGAGUUUCUACUCAUAUUUCAAUGGUCAGCUUACUUGUCAGCUAUUCCAUGGCAUUUCCUCUUCCCCUUCCCCUCCCUUCACCUCCCAAAAUACAUAGUACCUUUGUAAUUUCUUUAUUACAGGACUUACGCACUGUGAUAUACUUCAAGGAUUUAUUUUUCAUCUACCCUUGUCAAACUGAGGGCGUCCUACAAAAUUUUCUCAGUAAAUGCAUGUACAAAUGAACUCAGUUUUCCAGAUCAUUUUCCUCCAUGGUUCAAAGUCUAACAAGGCAGGGGUUCUCCAUUUGGCAGAGAGAAAGAGGGGCAAAGCCACCAACAGCUCCAAGCGUACAUCAUCUCAGUUCAUUAGCCAGAGAUGGGAAGUUCCUCUUCCCUCCUGGGUCCAUGUAGGGUGAGAAGCGUUGUUGGAUAACCGGAACAGUAUCUGUCUACCACCACCAUGAUGGAAAAACCACUCGAAAUUCUACUACUUCAACACGCGAACCACUUGCCACCAUCACGUUUCCUGGCCGUGCUAGUGAAUGACUUUUAUAUAGUAUCCUGGCACACAUUUUUUCAUUCGACAUUUUGUCAUAAGCAUUUUACCUGUUGCUACAUAGACUUUAUAAUGACCAGUUUUAAGGGACCAUAUAAGAUUUAACUGUGAUUAGUCAUUAUGCAAUAAUUUACUUAAUCAUUUCCUUAGUGAUUUCUGCAAUUUCCAGCUGCUGUUAUAAUUUAAAAAUAAUUAUUCUCUUCCUACCUGUAGUUUGAAAAUAUGUGUUUCCUUAAGAUACUUCCCAGAAAUUGGAUUAAUGAGUGAAAUGGUAAGAACAGUUACAUAGGUCUAGUUCUUAAGAUGUAUAA